ensembl:lncRNA
GGAAAACGCUGCUAUGAACAUGCCAAAGCAGCAGGUGGCGCUAGAUUCCUAACCGUGCAGAAAUGUUGGCCAAUCAGAAGUCUAGAAGCCUCGGUGGGAAAAAGUAAACAAAGCUGCGGCAUAGAAGCAGAACCGAGUCGUAUGUGUGGAGGGACAGUAACUGUGUGUAUAUGUAAGCAUUUAAACACUGCAGAGAGUAGAAUUAACAGUAACAGUAUUGUAGAAAUUCAUUUCACCGAAACAAUAACGCGGCGCACAGUGUGACGCAUGCACCAGUUUAUUGUAUUUCCAGACUUGCUUUCGGCACAAUUUACAGUGCACGCUACUCUGUUUUUUGUCAGACUUGAAAUACCUUCACACUACGGAACUUCUUUGGCUCUUCCGUUCGACAAUCUCUCCGGCAUUGGAACCAUCAUCGGUUUUCUCUUCGGUCACGCUCGGUUGAUUUUUCUAGUCGGCACACUCAUUUCCUCCAUUAUGCGCUGGCUGCUUCCCAAACAAACACACGUGCGGCUUGGCACUUGUGCUGUACGUAGCAAGUCACGCGACGUGACGCUGCGGCUGUGAUUGGUUCAGCUCUGCGCUACUGAAUUUGGAUCGGCUGACCUUUUUUUUUUUUUUUUUUUUUCUUAAGAGGACAAGAGCGGCGAGGUCUAUCGCGAUAGCUUAAUUUCUCUAUCGAGUAAAAGUUAUAUCGCGAUACAUAUCAUUAUCGUUCUAUCGCCCAGCUGUACUAUAUAGAUAUGCUGCCUUAAGUUUGAGGCAUACUUAGCUGGCAUUUGACAAAAACAAAACAGAUGCUGAAACAGCAGAUGAGGAACAUACAAAAAUCUGACAUAUCACCUCAUUCACAAUAAAUCAAAAUCCUCUUGAACACAUAGAUUCUUUCUCCAGUACAACGACAUGCAAAUACUUUGGUCCAUUCAUAUACAUACACACAACACUGAGAUCUUCUCAUAUAUAUGCAUUGACAAUGUAGCACCAGCUAGCACCAAUUUAGACUGUAAUGGGGAAAAAUGCUUGUCUUUUUGCUGCCAUCAUGAUAACAAAAA